rnacentral:rRNA from 1 species
GGGCCCGCACAAGCAGCGGAGCGUGUGGUUUAAUUCGACGCAACGCGCAGAACCUUACCCAGACUUGACAUGCAGCUGAAAGGCCUGGAAACAGGUCCCUCCGCAAGGACAGUUGUACAGAUGCUGCAUGGCUGUCGUCAGCUCGUGUCGUGAGAUGUUGGGUUAAGUCCCGCAACGAGCGCAACCCUCGCUGCCAGUUGAAUUUCUCUGGCGGGACUGCCGGGACAAACCCGGAGGAAGGUGGGGAUGACGUCAAGUCAGCACGGCUCUUACGUCUGGGGCUACACACACGCUACAAUGGUCGGUACAGAGGGCUGCGAAGCCGCGAGGUGGAGCAAAUCCCAAAAAGCCGAUCUCAGUUCGGAUUGCAGGCUGCAACUCGCCUGCAUGAAGUCGGAGUUGCUAGUAACCGCAGGUCAGCACACUGCGGUGAAUACGUUCCCGGGCCUU